AGCAGUAGGGAAUCUUCCGCAAUGGACGAAAGUCUGACGGAGCAACGCCGCGUGAGUGAUGAAGGCUUUCGGGUCGUAAAACUCUGUUGUUAGGGAAGAACAAGUGCUAGUUGAAUAAGCUGGCACCUUGACGGUACCUAACCAGAAAGCCACGGCUAACUACGUGCCAGCAGCCGCGGUAAUACGUAGGUGGCAAGCGUUAUCCGGAAUUAUUGGGCGUAAAGCGCGCGCAGGUGGUUUCUUAAGUCUGAUGUGAAAGCCCACGGCUCAACCGUGGAGGGUCAUUGGAAACUGGGAGACUUGAGUGCAGAAGAGGAAAGUGGAAUUCCAUGUGUAGCGGUGAAAUGCGUAGAGAUAUGGAGGAACACCAGUGGCGAAGGCGACUUUCUGGUCUGUAACUGACACUGAGGCGCGAAAGCGUGGGGAGCAAACAGGAUUAGAUACCGGGUAGUCCAA
rnacentral:rRNA from 1 species